GUUUACGGCCAUACCACCCUGUCUGCGCCCGAUCUAGUCUGAUCUUGGAAGCUAAAUAGGGUCGGGCCUGGUUAGGACUUGGAUGGGAGACUGCCUGGGAAUACCAGGUGCUGUAAGCU
ensembl:rRNA 5S_rRNA 5S ribosomal RNA